rnacentral:rRNA from 1 species
GCACAAGCGGCGGAGCAUGUGGAUUAAUUCGAUGCAACGCGAAGAACCUUACCUGGGCUUGACAUAUGCCGGAUCGGCGCAGAGAUGCGUUUUCCCUUGUGGUCGGUAUACAGGUGGUGCAUGGUUGUCGUCAGCUCGUGUCGUGAGAUGUUGGGUUAAGUCCCGCAACGAGCGCAACCCUUGUCUUGUGUUGCCAGCACGUUAUGGUGGGGACUCGCGAGAGACUGCCGGGGUUAACUCGGAGGAAGGUGGGGAUGACGUCAAAUCAUCAUGCCCCUUAUGUCCAGGGCUUCACACAUGCUACAAUGGUCGGUACAGUGGGUUGCGAUGCCGUGAGGUGGAGCUAAUCCCUUAAAGCCGGUCUCAGUUCGGAUUGGAGUCUGCAACUCGACUCCAUGAAGUCGGAGUCGCUAGUAAU